GACAGAGGGUGCAAACGUUGUUCGGAAUUACUGGGCGUAAAGCGUGUGUAGGCGGACACGUAAGUCGGAUGUGAAAGCCCCAGGCUCAACCUGGGAAGUGCACUCGAUACUGCGUGGCUUGAGUAUCGGAGAGGUUGGUGGAAUUCUCGGUGUAGAGGUGAAAUUCGUAGAUAUCGAGAGGAACACCGGUGGCGAAGGCGGCCAACUGGACGAAUACUGACGCUGAGACACGAAAGCGUGGGGAGCAAACAGG
rnacentral:rRNA from 1 species